rnacentral:lncRNA from 1 species
AGAUUAUAGGCUUCAUAUAUAGAGCAUUUACCGAAAACUCACUAUUUUUGUAGGGGGUACACAUAGAUUUUGAGAAAAAAUCAAAAAAUGUGAGAAUACUGUUUUAAUACAUAUUUGAAUCAUGUAAUAAAAUAUGAUGAAGUUCAAAGAGGUUUGGAACCUUUGUUGUCUCCGUUUCUCUAGGGAAUAGCAAUUUUAUAGUAGUUAGUCCAAUGAUUUAGGCAGUAUUUGCAGUUUUGCUACAUUAAUGGAUAAAAAAUUAGAACGAUAUCCAUGUACCAUGAAAAGAAGUUUAUCAUACAUUAAUACAAAGGUAUAAUAUGAUUUUAAAUUGUAAAACAAAUUUAAAGAUUAUAUACUUAAUAUAUAGAGCAUUUACCGAAAACUCACUAUUUUCGUAGGGGUACACAUAGAUUUUGAGAAAAAUUCAUCAAAUUUGAGAAUACUGUUUUAAUACAUAUAUGAAUCAUGGAAUAACAUAUGAUGAAGUUCAAAGAGGUUUGGAACCUUUGUUGUCUCCGUUUCUCUAGGGAAUAGCAAUUUUAUAGUGGUUAGUCUAAUGAUUUAGGGGGUAUUUGCAGUUUUGCUAAAUUAAUGGAUAAAAAAUUAGAACGAUGUCCAUAUACCAUGAAAAGGAGUUUAUCAUAAAUUAAUACAAAUGUAUAAUGUGGUUAUAAAUUUUAAAACAAAUUAAAAGAUUAUAGGCUUCAUAUAUAGAGCAUUUACCGAAAACUCACUAUUUUUGUAGGGGGUACACAUAGAUUUUGAGAAAAAAUCAAAAAAUUGAAGAUUAUAGGCUUCAUAUAUAGAUCAUUUACCGAAAACUCACAAUUUUCGUAGGGGGUACACAUAGAUUUUGAGAAAAAUUCAAAAAAUUUGAGAAUACUAUUUUAAUACAUAUAUGAGUCAUGGAAUAUCAUAUGAUGAAGUUCAAAGAGGUUUGUAGCCUUUGUUGUCUCCGUUUCUCUAGGGAAUAGCAAUUUUAUAGUGGUUAGUCCAAUGAUUUAGGGGGUAUUUGCAGUUUUGCUAAAUUAAUGGAUAAAAAAUUAGAACGAUGUCCAUGUACCAUGAAAAGAAGUUUAUCAUACAUUAAUACAAAGGUAUAAUGUGGUUUUAAAUUUUAAAACAAAUUUAAAUAUUAUUGGCUUCAUAUAUGGAUCAUUUAUCGAAAACUCACUAUUUUCGUAGGGGGGUAUACAUAGACUUGGAGAAAAAUUCAAAUAAUUUGAGAAUACUGUUUUAAUACAUAAUUUUAAUCAUGUAAUAAAAUAUGAAGAAGUUCAAAGAGGUUUGGAACCUUUGUUGUCUCCGUUUCUCUAAGGAAUAGCAAUUUUAUAGUGGUUAGUCCAAUGAUUUAGGGAAUAUUUACAGUUUUGCUAAAUUAAUUGAUUAAAAAUUAGAACGAUGUCCAUGUACCAUGAAAAGAAGUUUAUCAUAAAUUAAUACAAAUUUAUAAUGUGAUUAUAAAUUUUAAAACGAAUUAAAUGAUUAUAGGCUUCAUAUAUAGAGCAUUUACCGAAAACUCACUAUUUUCGUAAGGGGGGGGGGGGGGAUUUUGAGAAAAAUUCAAAAAAAUUGAAAAUACUGUUUUAAUACAUAUUUGAAUCAUGUAAUAAAAUAUGAUGAAGUUCAAAGAGGUUUGGAACCUUUGUUGUCUCCGUUUCUCUAAGGAAUAGCAAUUUUAUAGUGGUUAGUCCAAUGAUUUAGGGAGUAUUUGCAGUUUUGCUAAAUUAAUGGAUAAAAAAAUGGAACGAUGUCCAUGUACCAUGAAAAGAAGUUUAUCAUACAUUAAUACAAUUGUAUAAUGUGGUUUUUAAAACAAAUUUAAAUAUUAUUGGCUUCAUAUAUAGAGCAUUUACCGAAAACUCACUAUUUUCGUAGGGGGGUACACAUAGAUUUUGCGAAAAAUUCAAAAAAUUUGAGAAUACUGUUUUAAUACAUAUUUGAAUCAUGGAAUAACAUAUGAUGAAGUUCAAAGAGGUUUGGAGCCUUUGUUGUCUCCGUUUCUCUAAGGAAUAUCAAUUUUAUAGUGGUUAGUCCAAUGAUUUAGGGAGUAUUUACAGUUUUGCUAAAUUAAUGGAUAAAAAAUUAGAACGGUGUCCAUGUACCAUGAAAAGAAGUUUAUAAUACAUUAAUACAAUGGUAUAAUGUGGUUUUAAAUUUUAAAACAAAUUUAAAUAUUAUUGGCUUCAUAUAUAGAGCAUUUACCGAAAACUCACUAUUUUCGUAGGGGGGUACACAUAGAUUUUGCGAAAAAUUCAAAAAAUUUGAGAAUACUAUUUUAAUACAUAUUUGAAUCAUGUAAUAAAAUAUGAUGAAGUUCAAAGAGGUUUGGAACCUUUGUUGUCUCNNNNNNNNNNNNNNNNNNNNNNNNNNNNNNNNNNNNNNNNNNNNNNNNNNNNNNNNNNNNNNNNNNNNNNNNNNNNNNNNNNNNNNNNNNNNNNNNNNNNUAUGAUGAAGUUCAAAGAGGUUUGGAACCUUUGUUGUCUCCGUUUCUCUAAGGAAUAACAAUUUUAUAGUGGUUAGUCCAAUGAUUUAAGUAGUAUUUACAGUUUUGCUAAAUUAAUUGAUAAAAAAUUAGAACAAUGUCCAUGUACCAUGAAAAGGAGUUUAUCAAAAAUUAAUACAAAUGUAUAAUGUGGUUAUAAAUUUUAAAACGAAUUAAAAGAUUACAGGCUUUAUAUAUAGAGCAUUUACUGAAAACUCACUAUUUUCGUAGGGGGGUACACAUAGAUUUUGAGAAAAAUUCAAAAAAAUUGAAAAUACUGGUUUAAUACAUAUUUGAAUCAUGUAAUAAAAUAUGAUGAAAUUCAAAGAGGUUUGGAACCUUUGUUGUCUCCGUUUCUCUAGGUAAUAGCAAUUUUAUAGUGGUUAGUCUAAUGAUUUAGGGAGUAUUUGCAGUUUUGCUAAAUUAAUUGAUAAAACAUUAGAACGAUUUCCAUGUACCAUGAAAAGGAGUUUAUCAUAAAUUAAUACAAAUGUAUAAUGUGGUUAUAAAUUUUAAAACGAAUUAAAAGAUUAUAGGCUUCAUAUAUAGAUCAGUUACCGAAAACUCACUAUUUUCGUAGGGGGGUACACAUAGAUUUUGAGAAAAAUUCAAAAAAUUUGACAAUACUGUUUUAAUGCAUAGUUGAAUCAUGUAAUAAUAUAUGAUGAAUUUCAAAGAGGUUUGGAACCUUUGUUGUCUCCGCUUCUCUAGGGAAUAACAAUUUUAUAGUGGUUAGUCAAAUGAUUUAGGGAGUAUUUGCAGUUUUGCUAAAUUAAUGGAUAAAAAAUUAGAACGAUGUCCAUGUACCAUGAAAAGAAGUUUAUGAUACAUUAAUACAAAGGUAUAAUGUGGUUUUAAAUAUUAAAACAAAUUUAAAUAUUAAAACAAAUUUAAAUAUUAUAGGCUUCAUAUAUAGAGCAUUUACCAAAAAUUCACUAUUUUUGUAGGGGGUGGGGUACACAUAGAUUUUGAGAAAAAUUCAAAAAAUUUGAGAAUACUGUUUUAAUACAUAUAUGAAUCGUUGAAUAACAUAUGAUGAAGUUCAAAGAGGUUUGUAACCUUUGUUGUCUCCGUUUCUCUAGGGAAUAGCAAUUUUACAGUGGUUAGUCCAAUGAUUUAGAGAGUAUUUGUAGUUUUGCUAAACUAAUGGAUAAAAAAUUAGAACAAUGUCCAUGUACCAUGAAAAGAAGUUUAUCAUACAUUAAUACAAAGGUAUAAUGUGGUUUUAAAUUUUAAAACAAAUUUAAAGAUUAUAGGCUUCAUAUAUAGAGGAUUUACCGAAAACUCACUAUUUUCGUAGGGGGGUACACAUAGAUUUUGAGAAAAG